rnacentral:rRNA from 1 species
UACAGAGGUCCCAAGCGUUGUUCGGAUUCACUGGGCGUAAAGGGUGCGCAGGUGGUUUGGCAAGUUUGACGUGAAAGCCCCGGGCUUAACCCGGGAAUGGCGUUGAAAACUGCUUGAACUGGAGGAUUGGAGGGGGACUGGAAUUCUUGGUGUAGCAGUGAAAUGCGUAGAUAUCAAGAGGAACACCAGUGGCGAAGGCGAGUCCCUGGACAAUUCCUGACACUGAGGCACGAAAGCCAAGGGAGCAAACAGG